AACGAGCGCUGGCGGCAGGCUUAACACAUGCAAGUCGAACGAUGUAGCAAUACAUAGUGGCGCACGGGUGAGUAACGCGUGGGAAUGUACCAUUUGGUGGGGAAUAACUCCGGGAAACUGGAGCUAAUACCGCAUACGCCCUUCGGGGGAAAGAUUUAUCGCCAAAUGAUCAGCCCGCGUGAGAUUAGGUAGUUGGUGGGGUAAUGGCCUACCAAGCCGACGAUCUCUAGCUGGUCUCAGAGGAUGAUCAGCCACACUGGAACUGAGACACGGUCCAGACUCCUACGGGAGGCGGCAGUGGGGAAUAUUGGGCAAUGGACGAAAGUCUGACCCAGCCAUGCCGCGUGAGUGAUGAAGGCUCUAGGGUUGUAAAGCUCUUUCGCCGAUGAAGAUAAUGACGGUAGUCGGAGAAGAAGCCCCGGCUAACUUCAUGCCAGCCGCCGCAGUAA
rnacentral:rRNA from 1 species